UUGGGUCCAAGAUAUCAUAUGUUUUUUUUAUAUUCAGAUUGUCUAACAAAGAUAAAAGUAGGGAAAAUAGCUGAUUGUGAAUUAAUAUAAACAUUAUUUCAUAAACAAUCGACUACGACUGAUUUUGCUAUUUGAUAAUGGACUUUCCGUUUUGUUUCAGUAAUUCGGUAUACUGUAAACCAACUUAUUUUUUUUAUUUUGUAUUAUGCCUGUAAACUUU
rnacentral:lncRNA from 1 species